rnacentral:rRNA from 1 species
AGUGAACGCUGGCGGUAGGCCUAACACAUGCAAGUCGAACGGCAGCACAGUAAGAGCUUGCUCUUACGGGUGGCGAGUGGCGGACGGGUGAGGAAUGCAUCGGAAUCUACUUUUUCGUGGGGGAUAACGUAGGGAAACUUACGCUAAUACCGCAUACGACCUACGGGUGAAAGCAGGGGAUCUUCGGACCUUGCGCGAUUGAAUGAGCCGAUGUCGGAUUAGCUAGUUGGCGGGGUAAAGGCCCACCAAGGCGACGAUCCGUAGCUGGUCUGAGAGGAUGAUCAGCCCCACUGGAACUGGGACACGGUCCAGACUCCUACGGGAGGCAGCAGUGGGGAAUAUUGGACAAUGGGCGCAAGCCUGAUCCAGCCAUACCGCGUGGGUGAAGAAGGCCUUCGGGUUGUAAAGCCCUUUUGUUGGGAAAGAAAAGCAGCAGGUUAAUACCCCGCUGUUCUGACGGUACCCAAAGAAUAAGCACCGGCUAACUUCGUG